GGGGUGGGGUUCAUCCCACCCAGACCACAGAGACUGAAAAUAAGAAAGGGGUGAGGCCUAAGGGACAAUCAGGAUGUUUUUCAGAGAGAAGUGUGGAUGCUGGACAGGAAGAACCACAGAUACCAGAUACGGGAAGAAUCAACACUUUCAGAGAUGGAGCCUGUUGAGCCACAGUACCAACUAGUCAAUGCUGAAUCGACUUCUCCCUUUCUACAUUGCCUGAGAGAAGUCAUUGGGGAAUACUCUGUACACGAAUUUUCACUGUUGGGGAAAACAGAGAGUCAAGGGAUUGGAUUGUGGAUUGCAUUGGUGGUUUUCCUCAGUUUCCUCAUCUUCUCCACAAGUUUCUACAUAUCGAAUGCAGAGCAGCCCUUCUUCAAAGGACCUCCUACGGAAGCUGCUAAGGAACUCAGUCUGUAGCUCUGCGUGGAGCCAUGUGUAAACACUGAACUGAGACCUGCCACCUCCUACUACCUAAGGGCCCAUUUUCAUCUGAUAUCAUCCCCCAGAAACAAACUCAUGAUGACUUCCAUGUUUUUUUUAGAUUAGAUACAUGGAGAAUUUUCCUUUCCCUUAGAAUUAAAAUCCUGCAUUCUAAUUUUCAGUAA
rnacentral:lncRNA from 1 species